AUAUAUGAGUACAUCCCAAACAAAAGUUUGGACUACUACUUAUUUGAUUCAACAAGAGGCAUGUUCCUUGACUGGAAGAAGCGUUUCAAUAUAAUUGAAGGAGUUGCUCAAGGAUUAAUUUACUUGCACAAAUACUCAAGAUUGAGGGUGAUUCAUAGAGAUUUAAAAGCUAGUAAUGUCCUGCUUGAUGAAAAUAUGAACCCUAAAAUUUCCGACUUUGGUAUGACAAAAAUCUUCACGCAUAAUGAAAUGGAAGCAAAUAAUAGUAGGAUUGUAGGAACCUGGUAAUAUUUAUUCUUAUUUAUCACAUAUAUGUUUAAUUAGUUUUAUUUUGGUAGCAAAGCAUGAAAUUUUGUAGAUCGAUCAUUGAUAAUUUAUAAUUAACUUACCAAUGUUUUGGUUUGUUGCAAUGGUUACAUGCCUCCGGAGUAUGCCAGAGAGGGAAUUUUUUCUCUAAAAACUGACGUCUACAGUUUUGGAGUAUUACUGCUUGAGAUCAUAAGUGGGAGGAAAAGCAAUAGCUUCUACAAUGAUGACCAUGUGCUCAAUAUACUAGGAUAUGCAUGGAGAUUAUGGAAAGUCGGUACAUGGAUAGAACUAAUGGAUCCAACAUUAGGCGAUUCAUGUAAUAGGAAUCAAUUUCUAAGAUGUGUCCAUGUUGGUCUACUAUGCGUUGAGGAAAAUGGAGAGGAUCGGC